rnacentral:tRNA from 1 species
GGCACCAUGGUGUAGUUGUUAUCACAUAUGCCUAAAACGAAGUAGGUCCCUAGUUCGAGCCUGGGUGGUGUCA